GCUGCUGUAGCUCAGUUGGUAGAGCACGUCCUUGGUAAGGACGGGGUCAUCGGUUCGAUACCGAUCAGCAGCU
rnacentral:tRNA from 1 species